rnacentral:rRNA from 1 species
AUUGAACGCUGGCGGCAGGCUUAACACAUGCAAGUCGAGCGGAGAUGAGGUGCUUGCACCUUAUCUUAGCGGCGGACGGGUGAGUAAUGCUUAGGAAUCUGCCUAUUAGUGGGGGACAACAUUACGAAAGGAAUGCUAAUACCGCAUACGUACUACGGGAGAAAGCAGGGGAUCUUCGGACCUUGCGCUAAUAGAUGAGCCUAAGUCGGAUUAGCUAGUUGGUGGGGUAAAGGCCUACCAAGGCGACGAUCUGUAGCGGGUCUGAGAGGAUGAUCCGCCACACUGGGACUGAGACACGGCCCAGACUCCUACGGGAGGCAGCAGUGGGGAAUACUGGACAAUGGGGGGAACCCUGAUCCAGCCAUGCCGCGUGUGUGAAGAAGGCCUUAUGGUUGUAAAGCACUUUAAGCGAGGAGGAGGCUACUGAGACUAAUACUCUUGGAUAGUGGACGUUACUCGCAGAAUAAGCACCGGCUAACUCUGUGCCAGCAGCAGCCGCAG